GCCAGUGUGGCAUAGUGGUUUGAAUGUUAGACUAUAAUUCUGAAGACUGUGAUUCCAUUCCCCACUUGGCCA